rnacentral:rRNA from 1 species
CCAAGCUGUGUUCACACGGCGAGACCGCGGACGGCUCAUUAAAUCAGUCGUGGUCCAAAUGGGCCAGUGCAAAUCCUACUUGGAUAACUGUGGUAAUUCCAGAGCUAAUACAUGCAACUGAUAUCCCGAAGGCGGUGUUUGGGCUUGCUUGCCUUGCGCUGCGCUGCUCUGACGGAUGCUUUUAUUAGACCAAGCCGCUGAGGACUUGAGGGUUCGCGCUCUCUUGUCUGACUCGUGUGAUGGUGACUCUGGAUAACCAAAUUCUGACAAGCGCACGUACUUCUCUUCUGAGCGAGACGGCGCUGCCACUUUCGAGUGUCUGCCUUAUCAGCUAUCAACCGUUCGUUAUGCGCGACCGAUGGCUUUGACGGGUAACGGGGAAUCAGGGUUCGAUUCCGGAGAGGCAGCCUGAGAGACGGCUACCACGUCCAAGGACGGCAGCAGGCACGCAAAUUACCCAAUCCCAGCAAAUGGGGGAGGUAGUGACGAAAUCUAACGAUGCGGGCGCCCUUUCUGGGGCCCCGCAAUCG